UACGGGGGGGGUAAGCGUUGUUCGGAAUUACUGGGCGUAAAGGGCUCUUAGGCGGCCAACUAAGUCAGACGUGAAAUCCCUCAGCUUAACUGGGGAACUGCGUCUGAUACUGGAUGGCUUGGAUUCGGGAGAGGAAUGCGGAAUUCCAGGUGUAGCGGUGAAAUGCGUAGAUAUCUGGAGGAACACCGGUGGCGAAGGCGGCAUUCUGGACCGACAUUGACGCUGAGGAGCGAAAGCCAGGGGAGCAAACGGG
rnacentral:rRNA from 1 species